GCGGGAGUAGCUCAGUUGGUAGAGCAUCAGCCUUCCAAGCUGAGGGUCGCGAGUUCGAGCCUCGUCUCCCGCUCCA
rnacentral:tRNA from 4 species